rnacentral:lncRNA from 1 species
CGGCCGCCUCCGCGCGUCCCACAGGGACCAUCCUCUCCGCUCCCGGCCUCAGUGCGCAGGGCGGGAGACGGGGCGCACCCCGGCCAGGCUCGCAUGGACCUCCCGCGCCGCUGGCUCUUUCGAAUGUUGCUGCUCGUCGCCACCAGCUCCGGGAUUCUCUUCAUGCUGUACUCCUCGGCGGGGCAGGGGUCCCCGGAGACCCAGGUUCCCGCCAGGCAAAACUGCAGGUCCCAAGUCCUCCGGGAUGCUGCUGGGGUAAUAAAGGAGUGGAGCAUCUGGCCACCGUCCUCUGAACAGGCUCCCUCCGCUCUCCCCCUCUGCCCUGAGGAGCACCACGUCGCCUAGAGCAUUCUUUGAGCCCAAGGCACCGAAUUCGGAAAACAGAAAGAGCCCAUCCUGCCAACACUCGCUAUCCCUGGCCAUUCAGAAGGACCAUCGCUUCCGGGGCCUGUUUGACCUCUCCACCCCAGUGCUUCUGUGGGACGGCCUCUUCACCCAAGAGCUGUGGAAUAAUCUGAGUCAGCACAAAGUCCCCUACGGAUGGCAGGGGCUCUCCCGGAAAGUCAUUGCCUCUACCCUGACACUUCUGAAGGACCCAGAGAGCGCAGAGCUGUUUGGUGCCUCCGGGAAACUACCCCUGAGCUGUAUCAGCUGUGCCGUGGUGGGUAAUGGAGGAAUUCUGAAUGGGUCCCGGCAGGGUCAGAAAAUC